CAGUCCUGACUCUGCAGACUCAGUGCUUUUCAACUAAAGACAAAUUUUUCACUGGGAACUUGUCAAUAAAAAUAUAAGCAAUGGUGAAUCCUGCUCAAAAGGCUCAAAUAUGUCAACCAGCAUCUUCUGGGGAUGACAGCCAAUUUCAUCCCAAUUUUGACCAUUCCAGGACUGAAAACACAGAUGAAAGUCAAUAAGAAUUAAUCUCUUCCUAGAAAUGGUUUUGCAUGCCUAUACAAGCAGCAAUCUGCUCUGUCCACAAAGAGAAUGAAUGGAAGAAGAAUUGGAUUUUAACACACAGGGCAAACACAGUCCUAGGAGGAAGAUCUGACUUCAGUGAGGAACUCACAUUUGUGGGGAUGGGAGAACAUUCCCUGCAGUGAGGGGGAUCUCACAGCCUUGGAUAACUUUGGAAUUCAGCAGUGCAGGGCUGUGGACCUCAGUGUAACACAGAGACUUCAGCCAAAGCCGAGUGUGAUCCUCUUUGACUCUGGACAUUAACUGGCGAUAAAUACAGGCAGAAUUUAGGCAAAUCAAAACUGGCUGUAGGCAGGGGCAAAGCUGGCAGCUGCAGAGGGCAAAAAGAUUGUUUGGGGUAGGGAAGGAUGAAAGAGCCACAUCCCUGUUGCCCAUUUUAUCCACAGCAGAGCUGAGGAGAGCCAAGCUGGGACCAGCUGCUGCUGCUGCUGCUGCAGUAGAGGGGCUGCACUGGGGGAGCUGCAUGGAUGCACCUCUGGGAGCAGCUGCCCUCUCUGCCAAACGCUGCCUGCCUGCAGAGGGGUCAGAACUGAUUUUUGCACACACCUCUGAGAAAUCCUGAGCCAGCUUUAAGUCAACAGGGGCUCAGAAAAUGCAAAAAACCAAGGAGAAUAAAAUUCACAAAAAUGCUGCUUUUCUUCAUGUUUAAAGUACUCUGGGGAAGAGGAUGAA